rnacentral:rRNA from 1 species
UACGUAGGGUGCGAGCGUUGUCCUGAAUUAUUGGGCGUAAAGAGCUCGUAGGCGGUCUGUCGCGUCGAUCGUGAAAACUUGGGGCUUAACCCUGAGCUUGCGGUCGAUACGGGCAUGACUGGAGUUCGGCAGGGGAGACUGGAAUUCCUGGUGUAGCGGUGAAAUGCGCAGAUAUCAGGAGGAACACCGGUGGCGAAGGCGGGUCUCUGGGCCGAUACUGACGCUGAGGAGCGAAAGCGUGGGGAGCGAACAGG